rnacentral:rRNA from 1 species
GAGGGAAAGAUGAAAAGAACUUUGAAAAGAGAGUUAAAAAGUGCUUGAAAUUGUUGAGAGGGAAGCGAUUGGAGGCCACGGGUGCGCCCGGGCACACGCCUGCCCACCGGCAGGUUGAAUGCGCCGGGUGCUGGUCAGCAUGGGUUGGGAGGGCGGGAUAACACCGGGGGUUGCUACCCCGGCCAUGCCGCCCCCCCGACCGAGGAGUGAACGGCGCUCUCUGAGUCCUUCGGGAACUGCGUCGUCAAGAUGCUGGCGGAAGGCCUUCAAUCGGCCCGUCUUGAAACACGGACCAAGGAGUCUAACAUGUAUGCGAGCUGGUGGGUGGCAAACCCAUGAAGCGCAAGGAAACUAACUGGUGGGAUGGCCCGUGCCUGCACCACCGACCGACCAUGAUCUUCUGUGAAAGGUUCGAGUACGAGCAUACCUGUUGGGACCCGAAAGAUGGUGAACUAUGCCUGAGCAGGGCGAAGCCAGAGGAAACUCUGGUGGAGGCUCGUAGAUGUGCUGACGUGCAAAUCGCUUUUCGGACUUGGGUAUAGGGGCGAAAGACUAAUCGAACCAUCUAGUAGCUGGUUCCCUCCGAA